rnacentral:ncRNA from 1 species
UUAAAUCCUAUGAAGGAGAAAAGUAUAGCUGGACCCAGUUUUUCAGGGAGAAGGCGUCGUGGCUGUGAGCGCCUUUAAAAUAUGGACGGCUGAAGUUCACUCCGGAGGAGCAGGCUGAAAAUCCUAAAAGGUUAAGUAGGCUAAGCCGCAUUUCCUGCGUUAGAGGGAAGGGGUAUCGGAACGUUAUUUUCCUGUAAUUGGGUCAAUGUUCCCGUACUUUUAAUUGAGUGGGCUGUAUAUGUAUAUGCAGCCAAUCAGGGUGGUACCACGAAGCCUGUGCUUUCGUCCCUGGG